rnacentral:rRNA from 1 species
UCGGGAAUUUUGGGCAAUGGGCGAAAGCCUGACCCAGCAACGCCGCGUGAGGGAUGAAGUAUUUCGGUAUGUAAACCUCGAAAGAAUGGGAAGAAUAAAUGACGGUACCAUUUAUAAGCUCCGGCUAACUACGUGCCAGCAGCCGCGGUAAUACGUAGGGAGCAAGCGUUGUUCGGAUUUACUGAGCGUAAAGGGCGCGUAGGCGGCGCGGUAAGUCACUUGUGAAAUCUCUGAGCUUAACUCAGAACGGCCAAGUGAUACUGCUGUGCUAGAGUGCGGAAGAGGCAACCGGAAUUCUUGGUGUAGCGGUGAAAUGCGUAGAUAUCAAGAGGAACACCUGAGGCGAAGGCGGGUUGCUGGGCCGACACUGACGCUGAUGCGCGAAAGCCAGGGGAGCAAAC